rnacentral:rRNA from 1 species
AUGCCCUACGUGCCCCUCAGCGCGGCGCAAUGGGUGGUGGGCAAGGCGCUGGCCCCCGUUGCAGAUGGCGUGCUGGGGGCUUGGGCUGCCACCAGGAACUUUGGUCCUAACGUCGAGGCCCUCAGCACGGAACUGCUGCUCGUGAAGGCCACGCUCGAGCAGGCUGCCCACAAGGAGCUCGGAGGCCCCGCCAUGGAGAUGCUGCUGCAGAAGCUACGGGAUUUGGCGCACAAUGCCCAAGACUUGCUGGACGAGCUGGAUUACUUCUGCAUCCACGAUGAGCUGCACAACACAUAUGAUGCAGCAGAUCAGCAUGGCAAGGGUGGCGUCCAUGACCUCGCCCUCAAUGCUCGCCACACCGCCAAAGCUGUUGGCAAAAUGGUCAAUUGUUGCCCUUGGCAGCGUGCUAAACGCCGGGAGAGGUCACGUGCCGAUUCCUCCUCGUCACCCGACGCCAAUCAAGAGGUCAGCGGAUGCAUGCCCAAGUUCGGUAAACUCCUCCCUUGCUCAUCUUCCACAGAUCCACAUGUUCGGGAAGAAGAUUGUGGCAAUGUGCAAGAAAAACCAAAGCUUGAAUUUAAUAGGGUUGAUUUCUCUCAAAAGAUGAAGGUCAUAAUAGAUAAACUGCAGCCUGUGCGUAAGGAUGUUAAUGGCCUUCUACAGAGUUGUGACUCUAGAAUUGUCCCAAACAUUGCCCAAUGUCGUCUUAUCACCAAAGGUCGAAUUGAUGAGCCAAAACUUUAUGGGAGGAACCGUGUCAUGAAUGGCAUCAUACAUGACAUCACCAAGGGUCAAUACUGUGGCAAGGGUCUAACUGUCAUUCCGGUUGUUGGUCCGGGGGGAAUGGGGAAGACUACUCUUAUACAACACAUAUAUCACAGCCAACAAGUCAAGAAUCAUUUUCCAGUCAUGAUUUGGAUAUGUGUAUCGUUCAGUUUCAAUCUGGAUAAGGUGCUAGAGCAAAUUAAAACAUGUACCCCUCGAGUUGAAAGUGAAAAAGAGUGUAGUACAAAAGAAGAGGUGAUUGAACAAAGAUUGAAAUCUAAAAGGUUCUUACUUGUAUUAGAUGAUAUAUGGAAGAUUAGUAUUGGGGAUGACUGGGGCAAAUUAUUGUCGACGCUUAGUAAAUCACAAGAAAAGGGUUCCAUGAUUAUCGUCACAACUCGGUUUCAUGCGAUAGCACAGAAGGUUGAAACAAUUGGCCACUCAAACGGGUUAGAAUCUGAAGAGUUUAGAAAAUUAUUCCUUGCAUUUGUCUUUGGUGAUGAGGAAUGGCCAAGGGAUAAACAUUUUCUGCUUGAGACUGCAGAUAAGAUAAUGGAAAAACUAAAGGGCUCCCCUCUUGCUGCAAAAACGGUUGGUAGAUUACUAAGUAAAGACCUUAGUCUGCAUCAUUGGAAAAGGGUCCUAAAAUGUAAAGAAUGGGAGAAGCAGACUGAUGACAAUGAAAUUAUGCCUGCCUUGAAGCUUAGCUAUGACUUCCUCUCUUUCCAUCUGCAGCAAUGUUUUGCCUAUUCUGCAUUGUUUCCUGAAGAUUACCCUUUCCAGCAGGACGAGUUGAUUAGUUUGUGGAUUGGACUAGAUAUUUUGAUACCUAGUGGCCAAAACCAAGCAUUCGAAGACAUAGGUCUAAGCAAUUUAAAUGAGCUAGUAAUCCAUGGAUUUUUCAGAGAAGUGGAAGUUGAUGGUGCUUUUUUGUAUUUUAUGCAUGACCUACUUCAUGAUUUGGCAUUGAAGGUUGCAUCACAUGAUUGUCUUAGCUUACGCCUCCCUAAUGUUGGAUCAGUAGAGAUUCAGUCAACCAUCCGUCACUUGUCUAUAAGCACAUAUGCCUUAGGUGAAUAUGAUGUAGUGUCUGGUGAAAAAUUAAAAAGUGAAUUGGAAGAACUGAAGACAAGAUUUAAGGUUGAAUAUCUGCAAACGUUGACGUUAUUUGGAAAAUUGGAUGAAGGUUUUGUCAAGAUAUUUGGUGAUUUUUUGGGGGAAGCGAUCUCUCUCCGUGUUCUUCAUUUGCCCAACAUGCGUAGUCCCGUGGAGUCCCUGUUACAUAACUUUUCAGGACUUUUCCACCUACGAUACCUUUGUCUAGGAACAGAGGAGAGCCAGAUGCAUUUACCACUUAGCAUCUCUAAAUUUUAUCAUUUAAGGAUUCUAGAUCUUAAAUGGUGGAAUGGCAAUCAUGAUUUGCCCAAUGACAUGAGCAACCUUGCCAAGUUGUGCCAUUUUUAUGUCCCAUGUGAUCAUCUGCUUUAUUCUGAUAUUUGUAAUAUGGGAAAACUUAAACUCUUAGAAGAGUUAAACGUAUUUCAGGUCAAUAAAAAAAGUGAAGGGUUUGAACCAAAGCAACUACAACACUUGACCAGGCUAAGGGAGCUUGGUAUCUACAACCUUGAGAAGAUAGAUACAGUAGAAGAGGCAGCUGAAGCAAAAUUGAUGGAGAAAAAAUACUUGAGGAGGUUAACAUUGGAUUGGGAUAGUGGGCGAUCUAGUGUUGAGCCUAGUGUGGAAGCAGCAAUUCUUGAGAGCCUUCAACCUCAGGGAGAUCUUCAAUUCUUGUGCAUUAGAGGGCACGGAGGCCCAUCUUCUCCAACAUGGCUGGGUGAUGAGCUCGCUGUUGAAGCUUUGCAAUCUCUUUGGCUUCUUGGUGUUUCUUGGGACGUUUUCCCUUCUUUAAGGAAGGUGUGGGAUCUUCGCGUAUUAAGGUUUGACAAUAUUGCCAGACCGAAGGAGUUUAUCAUAGAGAAAAGCUUUUGCAUGCUAACAAAGCUUGAACUCAUUGACCUAGGAAGUUUUGAAAAAUGGGUUUACCCAGCUGAACAAGAGUCUUCCUUUGGUGGAGACUUGUUCCCACCGGAUGCUCAUAUGUUCCCUCUUUUGCAAGUUCUGAUUAUUAGGAACUGUCCAAAACUGUUGGGGUUGCCUUUCUCAAACUACAUUGUUUCCCCAGAUUGGCUCCCCAAGCUAGAAGAGCUUGAGGUACAUGACUGUCCUGAAUUCUUGCCAGUGAUUCCCAUCUCCUGGAUUGAAAGUCUGCGCUCUGUCACGAUGAAAUGUGUGAAGAUGCUUAAGGAGUUUGCAUACUUACCAUCCAAUGGAGCAAAAUUGAAAAUUAUUGGAGAGGGGGGGCUGCAUAGCAUAGACCAAGUGUUACUUUUCGAUACAGAAACAUGUUUUGAGGAGCUGAUACUCAAAAGCUGCCCACCUCUGCAGUUGAAGGAGCUUCUGAUGCUAACCUCACUGAAGACAUUGUAUUUAGGACAAUCAGAUGCUCUGUUUAGAUCACUAGGAGGUCAGGGUAGUGUGGAAUGGCAGCUCCCUAUUGAGUACAUCAUGAUCAGCGACUUAAAUGGUAAUAGUUGGGAGGAAUUGACAGAGCUCCUCCCCCACCUCCCAAAGCUCUCCUCAUUGAAAAUAUGGACGUGUAACAUUAAAAAGCUGGUAUUGGCAGAGGAAGUGGAAGAUGGAGUGCUGCUCUUCCCACCUCAUCUCCAGGAAUUGGAUUGCUGGAAAUGCCCAGAGCUGGUCCUAGUGGACCCGCCAACUCUUGUUCAUGGAGCAGGAUCCCUCCGGAGAUUAAGCAUAAAGUACUGCCCAAAGUUUCUAACCUCCUUCUUGUUUUCCAGUCACAUUUUCCCUUCCUCCCUGCAGUUCCUGGCUCUUUGGGAGGUGGAAGGCAUGGAAACACUGGAGCCCCUCUCCAACCUCUCCUCCCUUGUCAAAUUAGAAUUGAUUAAUUGUGGAGAGGAUCUGAAAGGUCAGGGCUUGCAGUCUCUGCUUACCACUGGGGGGCAGCUCAACGAAUUAGUUGUCCGUGGUAGCCCUGGUUUCUUUGCUGGUUGGGAUCCCUUGGAGGAUGUUGAAGCAGGAGAAGAGCAGCAGAUACAACGCGUUUCAUCCACACCAUGGAAACUUUGCACGGAUUACGUAGCGGGGCUCCUUUCUGCACCCAUCUGCAGCUUUCUCUCUUCCUCCCUCACCAAUCUGGAGCUUUGUGGGCUUAGGUUUGCUGAAGGGAUGGAGCGCUUCAGCAAGGAGCAAGAGGACGCCCUUCAGCUCCUCUCCUCCCUCCACCAACUAGAGUUUUGGGAUUUCCGUCACCUUCAGCAACUCCCUACAGGGCUGCGCAACCUUACCAGCCUCAAGAUAUUAUCAAUCCACCACUGUCCUGCCGUCUCAUCAUUGCCCAAUGAUGGCCUCCCCAAAUCACUACAAGAGCUAGAUAUCAGAUUCUGCGCCAACCAGGAGCUAAAACAGCAAUGCAAUGGGUUGGUGGGAACCAUCCCAAAAAUCUUACUGGGCCGCUAG